CAACCAUCAAGCCCCCAGGCUUGUGUUGGGGCCCUGCGGCCGCCCGCAGCCCCCGAAAUGCAGUGGCGGGCUCGCUAUCGCACCGAGCGCAGUAGGUAACUCCUCGCUCAGGGCGCGACGGCGGGCGCCGGCCGUGAAAACCUCCACUACAA
rnacentral:misc_RNA from 1 species